rnacentral:rRNA from 1 species
UACGUAGGGGGCAAGCGUUGUCCGGAUUUAUUGGGCGUAAAGAGCGUGUAGGCGGUUUGGUAGGUCCGUUGUGAAAACUGGAGGCUUAACCUCCAGACGUCGACGGAAACCGCGUGGCUAGAGUCCGGAAGAGGAGAGUGGAAUUCCUGGUGUAGCGGUGAAAUGCGCAGAUAUCAGGAAGAACACCAAUGGCGAAGGCAGCUCUCUGGGACGGUACUGACGCUGAGACGCGAAAGCGUGGGGAGCGAACAGG